UGGAAAACAACCUACAGGUCACCCCCCCCUUGUGUCUGUGACUUUUUGCUUUAAAAGAUGGACUGUAACAGCUAUCAUUGUCCCUCAUAUCCCAAACCUGAAGGACCCUGUCAUGACAGAAUAAAAAUCCUCUUGCUUUUGCAUCAAUUUGUGGUUAUGUGAACGGUGUCUGGAGCAACUCUUUCCUGAUGUUUGGACUUCUAGUCCAACAUUUUGGUGCAUUGGCCGGGAACUGAGUUGCUUCUGGACCCAUUCCAGGCACAGUUGGAGGUUAAAGAAAAAGUCUUCCAGCCUGACCCUUAUGGCCACCCGGACCAGGUUCCCUAUAUUGUCACCAGGGAGAGCUUGUCCAGAGAACCCCCCUACUAAACACCAGGUCAUCAUAGAAGAGGACUAGGAGAAUAUAACACAUAACCUAUCACAUCAGAGGCACACAUGUCAGUGGGGUCCAAGCUGGUGCUAAUUCCUCCCCACAGGACCCAGUAAGCCUGGGAACCAGCAGUAGGCUGUUUCUCUGGGGUCAGAUACCCUAUUAGAAAGCACAUGUUCCAUAAAGAGCCUGGACCUCUUCAUUUUGGCAGCCAGGACUGGGUAUGACAGCAGAUAGAGAGAUUGCAAAACCUUCAUCUAGCGAUGGAUCGAGAUAAAGACAGAGACCCAAAUUGGAGCACCGGACUGAGCUCGUAAGAUCCAAAUGAGGAGCAGAAGGAGGAAGAACAUGAGUGAGGAAAUCAGGACCACAAGGGGUGCACCCACCCACUGUGACAGUGGACCUGAUCUAUUGGGAGUUCACCAAGGCAAGCGGGACUGGGACUGAAUAAGCAUGGGAUGAAACCGGACUUUCUAAACAUGGCAGACAAUGAAGGCUGAUGAGAAGCCAAGGACAAUGGCACUAGGUUUCGAUCCUAAUACAUGAACUGGCUUUGUGGGAGCCUAGCCUGUUUGGAUGCUCACUUUCCUGGACCAGGAUAGAAGUGGGAGGACCUUGGACUUCCCGCAGGGCAGGGAAUCUGGACUGCUCUUCAUUCUCGAGAAGAAUAGAAAGCUAUGGAUCCCUUACUGGCUAAUAUGGUUUGACCAAACAAGACUUCCUAAGCAAUGGCCAAGAUGGUCCAACCUCCAUGACAGCUUCAGGACUGUUGUCUGAGAUGGACCUAUCACACAGGAUACCCAAUGAAAUACUUGAUUAACAGUGCACCCAAUCAGCAGAAAGUAAUCUAGAGAACAAUGCCUAAAUUGUUUAUAAUGAUUGUUUAUAAAUGUUUGUUUACAUUUAAAGGGGGAUAUGUUAUAGAGAUGAAUACUUUGCAUUGGUAUGGAUCUAGGUUUAUUGAUACGAAUUUAAGAUCAAUUUUGUUACAUGUAUAUUUAUGCUCUUGAUUAAAAUAUUGUAUAUCUGAAGAUCCUUUAAAAAUGUAAUAUAAAAUUGAAAAUUAUAAGUUAAUAUAUAGUCAUGUAUAGUAGUCAAACAUGUAGUCAUGUUAGUUAGGUUUUCGAGAUGUGCAGAGAUAUAGUUCAGAUGGAUAGGUAUUCUUCAAACCUUUUAAAGACUAACAGAAUAUGGCAUUUAAAAUGUUUUAAGAAUUUAGGACUUCACAUGACAAUGAGACACAUCUACUUCUGGAAGCACCAAUCUACUUCAAGAGGAUAAUGGGCUUCAAAGAGCCUCCUUAUGGAAUUUGUUAGCCAUUCGGGGAAAAAAAAACUGCUCUUGUCUGGACUAGUAUGUUAUAUAAACUGGACAUGCGGGGCCCAUAGAAAAAUGGCUGCUAAACUUGCCUAAUAAUGAGAGAGUUCUUCAGAGUUCCUAUUUCAUGAAAAAGUCUGCCAGACAUUCUCCAGGAUACAGAAGAAAGCAUCUGAUGAACUGCCAAUAGAAGCAAAACAGUCUUAAAAAUUUCCUGCUUCAUGUGAAAGUCUGCCAGAUACUAUGGGCCUCUAGGUUGAAGGUGGAUACUCCAUUGUUACAGAAGAACUUUGGAUGACUGUCUAGGCAAUGGGAUGUCUCUCUAAAUUCUAGAGUUUUGGAAGUUGCUUGCAAUAUAUUUAGGUAAUAUAUCCUUCUGGAGUAUUUGAUGCAGUUGGAGACAGAUAAUUAUAAUUAUAGUUUUCCUUGGUUAUGAUAAAACAUAAAGAAGAUAUAAAUAUUGGAACUUUAAUUCUUGCUUCAUACCUAUUUUGUUGUAUGAAAUUGUACUAUGUUAAAGUUAAAACCUUCCUUUUCAUUUAGACAGAAAAGGAGAGAUUAUGUGGGAUUCCCCUAUAUAUGUUAUAAAUAGGUUUUAUUACGAUUGGUUAUUAAAAAAGCUGUUUUGGUCAAUGACUUAACAAAGUCAGGCAGGAAAUCUGAACAGAAAUAUAGAGAGAAAGUAAGUAGAGUCAGAGGAAUACCAUGUAGCUGCUGAAAGAGAAAGACUACAGGCUCCAGUAAGAACCUUACCAGUAGGUUUCACCAUUGUGGUGAUUUACAGAUUAUAAAAAUGGGUUACUUUAAGAUAGAAGAGUUAAACAUGAAUAUGCCUAAACUAUUGGCCAAGCAAUGCUGUAGUUAAUCUAGUUUCUGAGUUAUUAUUUGGGUCUGGGUGGCUGGUAAAUGAAUGAGUAGUCACUGUCUACAUAGUGUGUUGAAGAUAUAGGGGCCAAGGCAGCAUGCCUGGUGUAGUGUUGGUUAGCUUGGAAUUUGGAAAUUAGAAACUAAUAUGAAAAGGAUGGUAAGAAAUAGAAUAUGACAAAUCUUGCAUAAUGUGUCUUUUUCUUAUUAAAACAUAUUUGAACCUUAUCUUUGUGAUAAAGAAGAAAAUAAAGGAAUAAAAUAUG